AGAGUUUGAUCCUGGCUCAGGAUGAACGCUAGCUACAGGCUUAACACAUGCAAGUCGCGGGGCAGCAUGGGGGUUGCUUGCAACCCCUGAUGGCGACCGGCGCACGGGUGAGUAACGCGUAUCCAACCUGCCCUUCACCACGGGAUAACCCGGCGAAAGUCGGACUAAUACCGUAUGUUGUCCAUUGACGGCAUCCGAUUUGGACGAAAGGCUUAGCGGUGAGGGAUGGGGAUGCGUCCGAUUAGCUUGACGGCGGGGUAACGGCCCACCGUGGCGACGAUCGGUAGGGGUUCUGAGAGGAAGGUCCCCCACACUGGAACUGAGACACGGUCCAGACUCCUACGGGAGGCAGCAGUGAGGAAUAUUGGUCAAUGGGCGGAAGCCUGAACCAGCCAAGUAGCGUGCAGGAUGACGGCCCUAUGGGUUGUAAACUGCUUUUAUGCGGGGAUAAAGUGGCCCACGUGUGGGCUUUUGCAGGUACCGCAUGAAUAAGGACCGGCUAAUUCCGUGCCAGCAGCCGCGGUAAUACGGAAGGUCCGGGCGUUAUCCGGAUUUAUUGGGUUUAAAGGGAGCGUAGGCCGCCCCUUAAGCGUGUUGUGAAAUGCGGGUGCUCAACAUCCGACUUGCAGCGCGAACUGGGGGGCUUGAGUGCGCCGAAAGUAGGCGGAAUUCGUGGUGUAGCGGUGAAAUGCUUAGAUAUCACGAAGAACUCCGAUUGCGAAGGCAGCUUACUGUAGCGCAACUGACGCUGAUGCUCGAAAGCGUGGGUAUCGAACAGGAUUAGAUACCCUGGUAGUCCACGCGGUAAACGAUGGAUGCUCGUUGUCGGCCUUUGUGGUCGGUGACCAAGCGAAAGCGUUAAGCAUCCCACCUGGGGAGUACGCCGGCAACGGUGAAACUCAAAGGAAUUGACGGGGGCCCG
rnacentral:rRNA from 1 species